rnacentral:lncRNA from 1 species
UCAGACCUGGAGAAAAGAUCCGAAGCAAUUUUAAAUUAAGACUAUAUUCCCAGACCUGUCAACACUAUAGUAUGAAUCACGGAACUGAGUACUUUCAUUAUUACUCACCAAACUUGCAAGUGUGUCUGCUGACAUCUCCGUGCUCAAUCUGCUGGACUAUUGAUGUGAGCACUGCUGUGCUCCAGAGGAGUUCUUAGCAUGUCCCAGUGAUGUUCAAAAUGUAACCCGAUUGCAAGGGUUCAUGAGGAAACCAAGGAUUGCCCGGCCAGGCUCAAGUCUUCCUCAUCCUUCUUCCUUCUGCCAUCUUUUGAGAAUGGUCACCGUAAGUGGCAUGAUUUGGUAACCGGAGGUCCUGAGCACAAAGGUUCUCAAACCUGAACAGAUAUCGGAACCACCCACCUGGAGGGCUGGGCACACUGAUUGUUUCCCGAGUUUCUAACUGAGUAAGUCUUGUGGGGAUUGGGGGCAAGAAUGCGCAUUUCUAGCAUUCUAGGCGGAGUCCCAGGUGAUGCUGACCAUUGUGCUGCUUAGUUCAGUCCACUACUUCUGGACCACACCCCAGAGCUGAAGAGGAAAGGAGCGACUUAUGCCUGCAGGUCGGCACAAAGUCGUGGCUUUGCCAUCUGACGGAGGACGCGCAGCGGUCGUCUCUGGCUGGGUAGACUGAGACCUGAACGCUGAGGGACUUAGGACCAGCAGUGCCGUCCAGGCCUGGCUGCAGACGGAAACUACUUCAAGAUAAGCUCCACCAAAAAUAGAGAGGAAAUCAAGAAGAUUAAGACGCAGGAUCCAGCGCAACGCUCCAGCACAGGAGAGACCAAAAGAACGUUUGACAAUCCACUGACUUCCUAGAAAACAGAAGAGUGGGCUGGGCAUGGUGGCUCACGCCUGUAAUCCCAGCACUCUGGGAGGCUGAGGUGGGUGGAUUACCUGAGAUC